GACACGACUCUCGGCAACGGAUAUCUUGGCUCUCGCAUCGAUGAAGAACGUAGCAAAAUGCGAUACCUGGUGUGAAUUGCAGAAUCCCGCGAACCAUCGAGUUUUUGAACGCAAGUUGCGCCCGAGGCCUUCUGGCCGAGGGCACGUCUGCCUGGGCGUCACGG
rnacentral:rRNA from 1 species